rnacentral:rRNA from 1 species
GAUGAACGCUGGCGGCGUGCUUAACACAUGCAAGUCGAACGAUGAACCUCACUUGUGGGGGGAUUAGUGGCGAACGGGUGAGUAACACGUGAGUAACCUGCCCUUAACUCUGGGAUAAGCCUGGGAAACUGGGUCUAAUACCGGAUAUGACUCCUCAUCGCAUGGUGGGGGGUGGAAAGCUUUUUGUGGUUUUGGAUGGACUCGCGGCCUAUCAGCUUGUUGGUGAGGUAAUGGCUCACCAAGGCGACGACGGGUAGCCGGCCUGAGAGGGUGACCGGCCACACUGGGACUGAGACACGGCCCAGACUCCUACGGGAGGCAGCAGUGGGGAAUAUUGCACAAUGGGCGAAAGCCUGAUGCAGCGACGCCGCGUGAGGGAUGACGGCCUUCGGGUUGUAAACCUCUUUCAGUAGGGAAGAAGCGAAAGUGA